rnacentral:lncRNA from 1 species
CCGGCGAAAGAGACGUUUGUAUUCUGCAACUCCCUUAAAAUUAUCCAUAAAUUUUGAAAUUAUAAAGAAACUAAGGUUUCAACUCCAUUAGACAAAGUUGAUCUUCGUCUGCAUGAUUUGGCUAUUUAUUCGGUUCUAUUUGGUCUGAUAGCUCUUCAACUGUUUCUGUUUUUUGUGCAUGCUUCGUUCCAAAAAUCGAGAAUUAUAGCUCUUUGAUUGUAUGACUAGUUGUUGUAUGUUUUUUUUCCAGCUGUACAGAGCUUUUUGUUGUCAAUGGUUAUUUUUGUCGGAACUCUUUCACGAAAUUUCAUUGUAACAUGGAUGGUAAAUUUUCCUUUGAUCUUCUGGUGACUUAACUCGGUUAUUUUUAGCAGAGUGCGUUAACUGAAUGAUUUUUUAGUUAUUUCACUCUCCAAUCCCGCCGUAGAGAACUUCUCGUUUGAAAAGCAAAGAAUGGGAGGAGCUUAAACCAGUGCAUUAACUACAAAAAUUUGUUAAUGCACAGUCUAGCUCCGCCUCCUUGGGGUAGUAAUUAGGGAGCAACCAUUUGAACUUCAUGGGGGCUAUGUUUUUUUGUCUCAGUCGGAAAUUUGUUUUCGCAAAAAGCGCGAUCAAUCUUUUUUUAGUUUUUCAACGCUUUCAAUUUUUUCCCAAUAUUUAACACUAUAAGGUAUGGGGAAAAUCUGGAUUCAGAAUUUAUUUUUUGUCAUCUGCUUGACCAGAAUAAAAAAAACUGUUUAUAAAAUCUGGGAUAAGAAUAUCUUUUUAGAAGAAUAGGAAACAUACCCCCCCCCCUCCAGGGCCCCCACAUAAAGUUCUAUUUUCGUGUAUUGGACAAGCUUCAAACAUUUGUCCCUGGACCUUACAUGAAUUCGACACGCAAUCAAUUAACCGAUCUUCCCCAGUUUUGGGGAACGAAAGAACAUUUUGAUUUACCUUUAUAAUUGGUAUUAGGGAUAUGUUUCCUUUUUAUCACAACGUCCUUUGAAACUACAAGUCUUUUUUAUGUUUU